AGAGUUUGAUCCUGGCUCAGGAUAAACGCUGGCGGCGCACAUAAGACAUGCAAGUCGAACGGAAGUCGUUAUAAAAGGAGAGAAGAUUUGUCGGAUUGAAUUUUAUAACAAUGGCUUUAGUGGCGGACUGGUGAGUAACGCGUAAGGAACCUACCUAUUAGAGGGGAACAACAAUGAGAAAUCAUUGCUAAUACCGCAUAUGCCAUAACUACCGCAUGGUAGAAGUGGGAAAGGAGCAAUCCGCUGAUAGAUGGCCUUGCGUCUGAUUAGUUAGUUGGUGGGGUAACGGCCUACCAAGACGACGAUCAGUAGCCGGACUGAGAGGUUGAACGGCCACAUUGGGACUGAGAUACGGCCCAGACUCCUACGGGAGGCAGCAGUGGGGAAUAUUGCACAAUGGGCGCAAGCCUGAUGCAGCGACGCCGCGUGCGGGAUGACGGCCUUCGGGUUGUAAACCGCUUUUGACUGGGAGCAAGCCCUUCGGGGUGAGUGUACCUUUCGAAUAAGCACCGGCUAACUACGUGCCAGCAGCCGCGGUAAUACGUAGGGUGCAAGCGUUAUCCGGAAUUAUUGGGCGUAAAGGGCUCGUAGGCGGUUCGUCGCGUCCGGUGUGAAAGUCCAUCGCUUAACGGUGGAUCCGCGCCGGGUACGGGCGGGCUUGAGUGCGGUAGGGGAGACUGGAAUUCCCGGUGUAACGGUGGAAUGUGUAGAUAUCGGGAAGAACACCAAUGGCGAAGGCAGGUCUCUGGGCCGUCACUGACGCUGAGGAGCGAAAGCGUGGGGAGCGAACAGGAUUAGAUACCCUGGUAGUCCACGCCGUAAACGGUGGAUGCUGGAUGUGGGGACCAUUCCACGGUCUCCGUGUCGGAGCCAACGCGUUAAGCAUCCCGCCUGGGGAGUACGGCCGCAAGGCUAAAACUCAAAGAAAUUGACGGGGGCCCGCACAAGCGGCGGAGCAUGCGGAUUAAUUCGAUGCAACGCGAAGAACCUUACCUGGGCUUGACAUGUUCCCGACAGCCGUAGAGAUACGGUCUCCCUUCGGGGCGGGUUCACAGGUGGUGCAUGGUCGUCGUCAGCUCGUGUCGUGAGAUGUUGGGUUAAGUCCCGCAACGAGCGCAACCCU
rnacentral:rRNA from 1 species